GACGAGGGGUCCUAGCGUUGUUCGGAAUUACUGGGCGUAAAGCGCAUGUAGGCGGCUUUGUAAGUCAGGUGUGAAAUCUCUGGGCUCAACCCAGAGCGUGCAUUUGAUACUGCUAAGCUUGAGUAUGGGAGAGGGUAGUAGAAUUCCUGGUGUAGUGGUGAAAUACGUAGAUAUCAGGAGGAAUACCGGUGGCGAAGGCGGCUGCCUGGCCCAAUACUGACGUUGAGAUGCGAAAGCGUGGGGAGCAAACAG
rnacentral:rRNA from 1 species